UCCCUGGUGGUCUAGUGGUUAGGACUUGGUGCUUUCGCUGCUGUGGGCCUGGGUUCAAUGUCUGGUCAGGGAA
rnacentral:tRNA from 1 species